GCAGGAAGUUGGGGUCGGACUCAGUUCCCCCUUCCCCGCGCCUGGCUCCCCCCUGAGGCGGCGGCCCGCACCCCCGGAGACCCAGGGCCCCCUUCCCACUCCGCGCCCGGCUCAGCGGCGACCCCCACCCGGCGGCUGCAACGGCCCUAGCGCCGCCGCCGCUACUCCUCCGAACAUGGCGGCCUAGGCCAGCAGGUUAGCGGCCACAACAGCCAAUGGAGCACCUCCCACCCUACCUGCCGACCAAUAGCAAGCGCCGCCCACCUGAAACCAAUCCCCAGAGGGAGACCGCCGAGGCCUGGCCAAUCAGAGAUCGGCAUCCGUUACCUAGCGAGCUGAGGCGAGGCAGCCAAUCAUAAAAUAGGAGGGGGGGCAAGGAGAACACCUACAGCCAGCGCGGAGAGGGCGGGACACUCAUCUGCCUUGGUGGGGUGGCAGGGUUCCCACAGGCUCUCUUAGAACAGUAGAGGUCUCCACAUCCCUCAGUAGAAGUAAAAGGCAUCUGUUGCAAGUCAAUUAAACUCAUUUACAAAGAGAAAUCUCAAAGUGGGUUCAGAAUCUAGGUUCACAAGUGAGCAAUUUUCCGUUUUCAGCUAAAAGAACAUCUCUACUAUCUCAGGAGGUUUGCAACCUUUUCAAGGCCCCGUAUUUCACUAAGAAAACAGACACGAUCCAAAGUUUAUCCAAAUAAACCCAUGCAAGAGGAAAAAGGCAAUCAAAACAAACAAAAUGAAGAUACAAAGGAAAUAACUAAAAAAAAUAAGAAUAACUCCAAAGAGCCAACCCUGAUUAAAAACUCAAACAAGUAAAUAAAAUACUUUUGCCUGAACAGCUUCAAAAACAAGCUGCAGGGAGUCCCUGUCCUGCAGAGCCUCCCAAGUGUGUCAGAAGAGAUAUGGAUGGCUGACCUGCCCAUUGGCUCAACUCGGAGAUUUUUUCAUUAUAGAUUCUGUGUGAUUCUUUUGAUCUCUCCAUCCUUCUGUUUCUAGGCAGUGAGGCAACAUGGGGAGAAAGGUCAGCAGAUGGCACUUUUUGGAGAUGAUGUCAGUUUUUCCUCUAUGGAUUAGCUAACAAGCAACAAGGCCCCAUCACUAGAACAAGCAGCAGGAGCCGCAUUUUGAUCUGCACUCCUUACUAACGGCCAAAUCCAUGCCUCUCACUGUACUAAAGCAAGUAGUUCCAUUACCAGAAAGCAUUCAGGGACUACCUGGCUGAAGUAAGAUGAAUGGAAUUUGGGGCUCGACCCUGCAAACAUUUCCUCAACUUGAGGACAAUGUAUGUUUCUGAGAUGCUGAGUAUCCACAACUCUCUUUGCCUUCAAUGGGAACAGUGGUUGCUUGGCCCCUCUGCAAAUCAAGGCCUAGAUGUCUCAAGCUGAGCACCCACAACCUGAGGCAUACCAAAAUAGUGGAUGGACAACGUGCUUAAAUGCUUUGCCCAGACCAGUCUAGCGCAUUUUGCCCUGACUGAAGCAUGAAGGAAACCCACUGAAGGACUUAUUGAUUUGCCAGUGCAGACACAGCAUUCAUAAAUGUGCUUCUGUUCCAAUAAUGGCAUAUUGGAGAUGAACAUAUGGCCUUCACACGUCCUCCCUUUCAAGAUCCUAACAUCACAAUCUUUUUACCUAAUGACACCCUAGCAGGCACAGCUGAUUGGCUGAUCCAGAAGGAAACCCAUGACAUGGCCACCAGUAGGAUGGAAGGCACGUAAGACUGAAUGAUGUAAACACCUCGAUUCCGCCGCAAGUGGAAGUGGAGACUGAGCCUGGGAAACUGACCCGCUGGUGGAAAGAGUGGGCAAAGGACAAAGAUAAAGUUGUGUGUUAGAAGGUUGGCUUUACAAUUACACAGUUAAUAAAAUAAUAUACAAGAA